rnacentral:rRNA from 1 species
AACGAACGCUGGCGGCAGGCUUAACACAUGCAAGUCGAACGCCCCGCAAGGGGAGUGGCAGACGGGUGAGUAACGCGUGGGAAUCUACCCAUCUCUACGGAAUAACUCAGGGAAACUUGUGCUAAUACCGUAUACGCCCUUCGGGGGAAAGAUUUAUCGGAGAUGGAUGAGCCCGCGUUGGAUUAGCUAGUUGGUGGGGUAAAGGCCUACCAAGGCGACGAUCCAUAGCUGGUCUGAGAGGAUGAUCAGCCACAUUGGGACUGAGACACGGCCCAAACUCCUACGGGAGGCAGCAGUGGGGAAUAUUGGACAAUGGGCGCAAGCCUGAUCCAGCCAUGCCGCGUGAGUGAUGAAGGCCCUAGGGUUGUAAAGCUCUUUCACCGAUGAAGAUAAUGACUGUAGUCGGAGAAGAAGCCCCGGCUAACUUCGUGCCAGCCGCCGCCGUAACAC